CCUCGAGUGCCAGGUUACAAAUCUGGCUGUCGAGAUGCCUAAAAAGCAUUUCAUAGCAAGGGCCGGGCAAGACCGGUGCCAGCCGCCGCGGUAACACCGGCGGCUCGAGUGGUAACCGUUAUUAUUGGGUCUAAAGGGUCUGUAGCCGGCCGGAUAAGUCUCUUGAGAAAUCUGGCAGCUUAACUGUCAGGCUUUCAGGAGAUACUGUCUGGCUCGAGGCCGGGAGAGGUGAGAGGUACUUCAGGGGUAGGGGUGAAAUCUUGUAAUCCUUGAAGGACCACCAGUGGCGAAGGCGUCUCACCAGAACGGACCUGACGGCAAGGGACGAAAGCUAGGGGCACGAACCGGAUUAGAUACCCGGGUAGUCCUAGCCGUAAACGAUACUCGCUAGGUGUCGGCCACGGUGCGACCGUUGUCGGUGCCGUAGGGAAGCCG
rnacentral:rRNA from 1 species